rnacentral:rRNA from 1 species
GACAGAGGCCUCAAGCGUUAGGCGGAAUCACUGGGCUUAAAGCGUGUGUAGGCGGAUCGUUAAGUGUCUUGUGAAAUCCCACGGCUCACCCGUGGAACUGCUGGGCAUACUGGCGAUCUUGGGCCAACUAGGGGCAACUGGAACAAGCGGUGGAGCGGUGAAAUGCGUAGAUAUCGCUUGGAACGCCGAAGGUGAAAACAGGUUGCUGGGGUUGUGCCGACGCUGAGACACGAAAGCCAGGGGAGCAAACGGG